rnacentral:lncRNA from 1 species
AACAGAGUUGUGGUCAUCUGCCUUAUUGUCAUCAAUCCAAAAAUGUCGUCGUGCUGCGGUGGUAAAUGUGGUUGCGGGUCCGGCUGCGGCUGCGGCAGUGGCUGCAACGGGUAAUCUUUCUAACCUUCUAUUUGUUUCCCGAGAAUCUGGAAAAAGAAAAUCCCAGAAAAUUUAUCUGCUCUGUUUUUGGUUUUUGAUUACGUGGGUUCUUGUUUCAGGUGCGGGAUGGCUCCUGAUCUGAGCUACAUGGAGGGGUCCACCACUGAGACCCUUGUCAUGGGAGUUGCUCCCCAGAAGUCGUACGUAUCUCAUCUCUCAGAAAUGAAAUCCUAAAUUAUAUUUGGAAUUUGUAAAUUGCAUAUGUUGUGGUUAUAAUCUGGGAAACACGGAGAAACAGAACUGGAUGGACGCUAAACAGACAAUAAAAGUUAUAAAACGACAAUAAAAGGGUACAAAAUCGUGACUCAUGCACGGCUUAUUGUCUGUUUUGCGUGAUCCAGUUCUUUUUUUAUUUUUAUGAAACUAACCGGUUUAAUUUGUGCAUAUUUCUCGUUAUAAUUUUGGGGAACAUGGAGAAACAAAAUUGUAGAAACAUUGAACAGACAAUAAGAGGAUAUUAAAGCGUGGUUCAUAUACAUCUUAUUGUCUAUUUAUGCGUAUUUACACUGAUUUUUCGAAAUAUAGAUAUUAAACAGACAAUAAAGCGAUAUUAAACCGUGAUUUGUAUACAACUUAUUGUCUGUUUCGUGCCCUCCAGCUUAAUUUUGGAUUAAAAGAUUGUAACCGGUUCUAUUUACGCUAAUCGGGCUAUAACUUGGGUUUUGAUGUGCAGGCACUUUGAGGCAUCUGAGAUGGGAGUUGUAGCUGAGAACGGAUGCAAGUGCGGGGAUAGCUGCACCUGCAACCCCUGCAAGUGCACCAAGUGAGUGACAGAUGUCACCUUCUGACGAAGCAAGAGAAUCGUGGGGCUUCUAUGUUUAGCAGUAGUAAUCUAUGUGUGUGUCUGGUAAUUAUGAUCCUAAUGUACCAAGGUCGUGUUGUUAGAAUAAAGUAGCCAUGGCUUGCCCUCUGACCUGCAGAUCCACUAGGCAAGGAUCUGCUGAGGAUGAUCCUAGGUUAUGGCUGCUUGUGUCUCUGUUUCUAUCAUGUGUUGUGUAGAGUUGGAUCAUACUGUGUGUGAUGAAAUGAAUGAAAAACUUGCAUGUUUUACUUUAAUUUUUGGAUUCAGUUUACUUUUUAGAUUCGGAACUCUUAGUCAAUCUGAUGGCGAGAUCUUUCUUUGUUUUCGGGGUUCAAGAGAAGAGAGGAGCCACCACCCAAUGGUGCAGUUCCACCGGAUGUGGAAUAGCCCAGUACCUAGUCAAAAAACCAGGCUAGGACCCUGUCAACCCACGGGAUUGCCUGUCACCCAGCCCAAGCCGGUCUCCAGGCCAGCCCAAAAUUGACAGACCUUGGGACUGGACUAUAUGACGUCAUGCUGGCGUCAUGAUCUGAAAUCGAUGACGACGAACUCCAUCUCCGACAAGGAAGACUGCUGGAUGACUCUACCUUCGAGGAUGAGGCCGUCGACCCGGAACUUGCUGUUGAGGACGAGCUGGUCUUGGAAGCUGUUGAGGAUGAUGACAUCAAAUCCGGCGAUGCAGCUGAAGGUCAGGGCGUAGGUUCAGAGGCGGUGGGUUUGGAGCUAGCGAGCCCAGGUGUCGAUGUCGACCUGUUUGGGGCGAGUCGGACCGCGGAGAGUGAAGGGGAGGUGGGGAUUUGAUGGAGGGUGGAGAUGGGGGGUGUGGGGUUGGCGUGUUCUAGUCUGAGGAGCAUUUUUGGAGAGAGAGAGGGAAAAAGAGGGAGAGAGAGAGAGCUCACGGUGAUGAUGAAGGUGGUGGUGGGUUGGUGUGCUUUGAUAAACAAUCUGUUAAAUUAUUAUUUUAAUAAAAUUGACUAGGCUAUUUAUUAUUAGGGAUGGAGAUGUUUUGGCCUAUUAUUGUUUAUUGAGAUCUAUUACUGUUCACUUGAGUGGAUAAAUGCACUAGGUGCUGGCGCAAAGUCUUUAGAGGUAGAAUUGCUCUUACGAAAGCAUGGUCACCAGUGGCCCUCCACCUUCUCGACACUAUCGAACCAGAAAUCGCUCUCAAUCGUUCUGGAGGAAUUUUUUGCAUAUCUUGGACUUAAGGGCAAAAAGUGCCCUAUUCGUAGGGGUAGCGCCAGUUGUUUGUUUUCAAGGGACCAAGGCCACGUUAUCAGUUAUCUGAUUUUUUCAAAUUUCAUCUAACAGUCAAAUUACUUAAUCCGAUGACCUUAAUGGAAGAGAUCCGGAGAAAUCUCUUUCCUUUUUCAAGUUAAGCCCAGUAUCCCUAUCCCUUAUCAGGUUGGCAUAACAAAAAAAAGAAAGAAAAAGUCCAAAUAAUAAAAAUUCUACGGUGCUUUGGUGUAUACGGUAAUUUCGAUAUUUUAACUGUCAUAUUUUAAUUUCUCUUUUUGAUAAAAGAAAAUCUAACGAGUAAAAUACCUGAAUAACCCCGAUAGUCCAGAAUAUUAUAGAAAAUGUAUAUAUGAAGGAGAAAACACAAAAGAAGAAUUAGAUUAGAGUUGUAAAUAUGACAUUACAUUUAAUUGAUUGUACGCUACAACCAAAGGUUUGUUAAACACUACACAAAUCACACACAGGGUCUAUUUAGUCUUUUACAAUCACAUUUGCAAUCCAAAUCAGUAAGGAAUCUGAUGGGCUAAUGUUACAGUCUGCUUCACCACAAGGCUUAUUUGGGAGACAAAUUUCCCUAGGGCUGCCGCCUCUCAUCGGGUCAGACCAACGUGCGGUUGGUGGAUUAGAAUACAAGAGGUUUCCCAUGAUUUUUGUGAGAGGUGCUCUAGAGUUGAACGUUGUCGGACACCCCUACCCCGAGUUCACGCUUACUUGACCUGUAAAAUAUCUGAGCAGCUGGGUGUUGCCUUUAUUUGCUUAUCUAGUACCCCAACUGCAGCUUUAUUAAACAGGUUGACAAUCUGUAGAAAAAAAAGAAAAUUAAUUAGAGCAGAUUAGUAAUCAAUCAUUCAUCUUUUAAUGGGAAUUGUAGUGAGCCUCUCUUAGGAUCACCUGCUUAGUUGAGAGACCUAUUUUCUCCAAAUCGUUCAGCUGAAACAUGCAACAUGCAACAUGCAACAUCAGAAUUACUCAUUUAAUGCAAUUCAAAGUUUCUCUGUAUCGUUCCAAUUUUAUCGGAUAUCACCCGAAGGGACAAGUGUAUUUCGAAAUUCAUCUAUGCCUAAACCUUACGAAACUUGCUUACCGAUUUUAAAGGGCUCGUUUCUCUGAGCUCAAGUAUGUAUUCAGCCAUUUUGACUCCUAUUCCCUGGAUGAAGAUGAACACAAGAAAAAGAAAAUUUUAGAAGGCAACAAGUUAUUUUAAGAACAUGGAGAUGCGGUGUUACGAUACCAACCCUCAACUCCAGCAGCUCUUCCCUGCAGUUGCGAAAACCAGUCGAAAUAUUAGGUUCAUUUUGUAUGAUUGAGAGUGCAAAACGCAAGAAACGAUGAAGUUUCAAAAUGAUGAUAAGGAUUUUACCUGUUGUGUUCAAGAAGUCAAUAUACUCUUGAAGUAGGAACUUCUGCGCAAUUAUUUAAAAAAAAAAAAAAAACACAGAUGAAAACUCACAUUAUUGAAGCGCUAAGACUUAUCGAGUUGUAUGUAAUGAAUGUACCUUUAAGUUUGAUCCGCAAGCAGUGAAUUUAUCAAGUGGGGUGCCUGUUAUUUGGAACAUGUUUUUCGUGCAGGUCGCUAAAGAGGGAGUUUUCGGAGUGCAAUCUCCAUUUGUGAAUAGAGUUUCAUUGAGGGGCUUUUGAUUUAUAUUGGUGUUGAUUGGGGAGAGAGCUUUUCUCAAGGAACUUCCCGGUGAGUUUUCCUCCUGGUUUGAUGGCUCACCUAUGCAUAUAUACAAUGAAAUAUUGCAAAUAUUCAAUUUGUUUAGAUUGUUUGAAUCUUUGAAGUAGCAUAGUAAGUAAUAAAUCCAUACAGAGUGGAAAUGUAUCAUGUAAACUUGUAUUUGAUUCGAAUAUGGAUCCACCACCUCCAGCAUUGCCCUCUUGUUUAUUAUCCUUAGCGGCAAAUUGCGCGUUCUGGAAAGCAAUUCCAACUCAUAAAUACACAUCAAACACAAGAUAAACGAACUCGGAAAGAACUUAGCAGCUUCUCAUCCCCAAGUGGAGCUGCAAAACUCAAACUUUCAAAUAAUAUGCCAUUUCAUGAAUUGUCAUAAAAAACAAAGUUUCACAAUACAUGAUAGAGUAAGAAUAAGAAUGUAUCGAAAACGCUAUAACGUAGUUCUCACUUUAUCAUUUCCAUCCAUGUACUCGCUAAAAUUUAGUAAUUACCUCCAAAUUGGAAUCAACUACACUUUCAUUGUCAAAUAUAUUCCUCAUAGGUAUAGUGAUUUUCCUGCAAAAAAUUUUAACAAUCGGACAAAAGUGCCUAGUGCAUAGCAUGAAGAUAUACAAUUCAACUAGUUACUAGUUGUCGUACCUUUCUUUUGCAGUACAGGCACUUCUGUUUGUAUUAACCUUGGAUUUCAUAGAACUGAGGUUGAUGUUGCGUUUCUUGACAUUGGCAAUAGAAGAACUAGGAGUUUUCCCCAACAAGGGAGAACUGAAUGCUUCAAUUCUCCGUGCACUCUUCGUCUUUCCUCUUGAUUCAAGCCAAGCACGAAGUUUGGCUUCCAUGUCAACUUUAACCUUUGGUGUCUCUUGCUUGUGAGCUGAAGGAACAAAGUUGGUAAUGUGGCGUGACCGAGCUGCCAAGCUGACAGUAUGAACAGACUCUUGGUACUCUCCUGGAUUCUAUUAUCAAAGAAAAUUGUUUCCAAUAUAAGUUCCAAAAUAAUAAUAAUAAGAACAGGCCAGAUGAAAGCACUUCUAUUCAAACGCGAAUUCAAACUACUUACCAAGCAAGUAAUCAUCAAAGCCUGACUCAUCCCACCUAAUGAGUCUUGCAAAAUACGAGUCAAUUUACUCUCUCUAUAGGGCACUCGGGAUAAGUUGUUGUUCAGUGCAUAAAUGACAUUCGAUAAUGCAAACAAAGACUGGUUAAUCUUCGCACUCUCUGGAGACGAAUCCCUUCGUUGAAAGUUCUUCUAUUGUCUUCAUUGCCUGGGUGAAAUACACAUGUAGAUUAAAUAAAAGAAAGACAGAGACCAUAAACAAAUCUAAUUUCCAAUUGAUUUUUACUUGCGUAAGAAGCUACAGGAAAAAGGUUAGAAGUAAGAAAAGACCUGCUAGAUCUAUGAGAUUCAACUUCCCAGUAACGAAAUCCCCAGAACCAUCAUCAUGAGGAGUGGAAACGGCGAUCACAAGGACCCCAUGGCUCCUACUAGAGACAUCAUUGAGACCCGUAUGGGCAGUUUUCCGCCUCUGAAUCCCACAAGAAAAGGCCUCGUAAAACUCAGACAUGGACUUUACAGGCACCCGAGAAAGUCCCCUGAGAUGAAUCUGCCCAUCUUUGUCAUCCAAAACCGUAAUUUCCUUGGCUUUGAUCUCUAACAGGUCAUAACACCUGUCCAUAUAGACCUCAUAGUAUGAAAGCUCAACUGAGCUUCCUGUGCUCUGGCACAUAGACAGGAUUUUGGACAUGGCCAGCGGCAUUAGACCCGGCAUCUCAUCCGUUCCCUGGAACAUAAAUCACAUGCUGAAAUUAAGCAUUACAGAAGGAAAUGCUUCAGAACAACAAGCUGCAUUUAGUUACUCAAACCUAUCAUAAUUCAGAAUUUUCAUUUCUUUUCGGGGAUAAUUACAGAUAAAGUUCAGUAUUCAUUGAUCCUAAUGCAUUGAAGUUUCAUACGCAGAAUUAUCCAGAUUAAUGCAAUUACUAAAGUUUCAUAUGUGGGCAGACGUUGGUGUAGCCAUAUUGGGUAGAGCGGAUGUGGUCCCCCUCCCCGCAAUUUAAUUAGUUUAAAAAUUAAAAUAGAACAUCGAUUAUAUAAAAAGAAAAGAUUUUUUUUUCAUAUUUCUCGAUAAUUCAAAUUCAAAAUUGAAUUUUUACCAAAAGAAGCAAAAAAAUUUCAAACCUGCAUAGUGUAAGUCUUUCCACUUCCAGUAGCUCCGUAGGCAAACACCGUCGCAUUGCAGCCAUGAAAGAGUCCCGGAAUCAAAGGGCACACUUCUCUACUGAAGAUCCGGCCAACAUUGUUGUCCUCUUGGGCAAAGCAGGAGUCCAACCGAUAGCACUCGUUUCGGCUACACCCGAAAGGCAAAAUCAGCACCCACCAUCAAAACCCAGCUUCCCGAAUAAAAAAAACCCAAAAAUAUGCUUCCAAUUAUCUCACUGAAAAUCAAUAAAAUUCCUCACCUUGUAUCUUUAUCUUUGAGAUAAACAACCACUUCUUCGGCAGAGGAAUCGGAUUCUUGUUCGACAACAGAGGCGCACGGCGUCUGAUCUCCGUUACCGGCAGCGAUCUCUUGCGGAAGAAAAGGGCGCACCCGCACGAUGACUCUGACCUUCGAAAUUGAAUUGGGGUUCGCGGAUUUUGCUGGAGUUGCAGAAGUACUGCCAAGAAAUCGACCAACCUCCAUUGGAAUAAAGGAAAGAGCUCAGCUUGGAUUUCAAGAGAGAGAGAGAGUUGGGAAAUUGCAGAACGGUCUGUAACUGAAAGAUGUAGAUUUAUGAGGGAAGAGGAGGUUUGAAACUACUAGUCGAACGUUGGGCCUUUUUCAGUUUGAAUUUUUGGAUUAGGGUGCGGACUUGGCCGGUGGGCCUCGUCUGUGGUGGGGCCUAUUUCUUACUCUUUCGAAAUGUUUGCCUUGGGAACUGCUUUAACAGGAUAAAAAUUAUAACAGUUAAAUUACAUUGACGUGGCAAUUUAAGAUCUUAUGUAAAAUUUUGUAGCUAACUGAAUUGUUAAAUGUUACUUUCUUAUUAAUAUAAAGCUAUAAAUGGUUGUAUUUAUUAAAAAAAUUGUUGAAACAAAAGUUUCAUUGAUUGAAAUGUUGGUGGAAUAAGGAACCCACUACUAAAAUUAAUUUAAAAAAGUUUGACAUUGAUGUCAAAUUUGACUCAUAAUCACAAAACUUUCGAAUACAGUCAGCAAAUAACAUUUAAAUUGAAAUGAUUUUAUUUUUAUUUUUUAAAUAAGGGUGGAAAUGCUUUUGAAUAUUAAAAAUGCAUUCAAAACAAUCACAAAUAAAAUGAGUUCUUGUGUUUUGACUGUCGAACGUGGUUUGUAUCCGCUUAGAGUUAAGCGACAUCUAAAUAUAGGAAUCCCAUUUCUUUGUGAGCAAGCCGGAUAGUCCACUUAAUUCAACCAUCGAACACAAAAAAUACUUGCUAAAUGGUUGUAUGGCUCUAUUGGUUUAGCCGACCGCAAGUUAUAAUUUCCUCCCAAAUAGGAGAAAUUAUAUUGUACACCUUCAUUAGUCUCGAAGGGCAUGAUGUCUGCAGAAUUGGCUAUCUUGGUCUUGAAGACAACCAUUUUCGAGCCAUUUUCGAGCCAUUUUUCGGCCAAACCACAACGAGUUAGCCGUCGAAAAAUGUAUCAUUCUCUUCGUCUCGUCGAGACAUAUGAUUUUCAUUUUUGAAUUACUUGAUUUCAUUGAGUAUUAAAGAAGUUAUGAACAUUUAAAGUUUACCCAGUUUCCGGCGAGUUUUCCAGUUUUCCCUCAAAUCAGUCAACUUUGAGGCUAGUUUCCAACCAUUCCCGGAAACCAUUGGGCUUCCAAAUAUGUAUAAUCUUAUUCUACACAGUUACUAUCUUCAUUUUGAUAUAUUAUGGGUCGAAUUUGAUUAAGAAACGAUUGAGUUACGAAACUUUGAAAAUUGGCCAAACUUCUGGCCAAGAGCUCUAGGACACUUAACAGAGGUUUUAACGGAAUGACCACAAUGAUGGAUGGUGGACAAUCUCAAUGAUCACUUUUAUUGAUUUUAAAUGUUAGAGAUUAAAGUGAUGAGUUAUGCAAAUCUCAUGAAUCAUUUUGGCUAUUUAGCCUUUUUAAAAAUUAAAAAAAAAAGGUUAGAAAUGCUUUUGAUUAUUAAAAAUGCAUUCAAAGCAAUCACAAAUAAAAUGAGUUCUUGUGUUUUGACUAUCGAAUGUGAUUUGUACCCGCAUAGAGUUAAGUGACAUCUAAAUAUAGGAAUCUCAUUUCUUUGUGAGCAAGUCGGACAAUCCACUUAAUUCAACUAUCGAACACAAAAAAUACUCUCUAAAUGGUUGUAUGGCUCUAUUGGUUUAGCCGACCACAAGUUAUAAUUUCCUCCCAAAUAGGAGAAAUUAUAUUGUACACUAGAACGUAAACCUCACUAGUCCAACCUAUGUCGUAUAAAGAAGGUGUACAACACUGGAACGUAAAUUAUAUUGUACACACACAGGCAUAGCUAGUCCCAACUUAUGUUGUAUAAGGAAGGCGUACAACUUAAGCAAUAUGGUCAUCAUUUUUGCAUGAAAACUAUUUCUAUCGAUUUUAAAUUUCAAAAACCAAGUAAAAAGUUACACUGUAUCAUUAACACCACAUGUUGAUAAUAUAACCGUGCCAUCAAGUUGCUCUCAUUAGUUUGGUUUGUCUAUGGGCCACUCUUGAGACAUAGCCGCAUGCGACUGGCGGAGGGAAAAAUCUCUCAACAGGCCCAAAUGGCCCCAUGGUCAGAAUUUUGAUUACCCAAAAGUUUGAGGACCUGUCAGCAAGGCGGCGUAAAUAUGUGAGGGGUUUAAGACAGGGGCCGUAAUGGGAAAUGCGUUAAACCCUAAACCCCAAAAUUGUGGAAAAUCGAACGAAGACGAAGAUGGAGAAGGGCAUGCUGUCUGCAGACUUGGAGGGUCUUCCCGAAGAAGACAAGCACAGAAUGACCACCUUGAUCGACCAACUCCAGAUUCGAGACAGGUUUUCUGAUUUUUCUUUUUUUGUUUUUUUGAAUGCAGAGUUUUUGUUUAUUUUUCUAUUUUCCUGAAAAAAUUGAAUUUAUUCUCAGUAAUUUGUAAUUAGUGAGGCAUGUUCUUGCUAUUGUGCUUGAAAGAUUGAAGUUUCAGAAAAAUACCCACAAAAUUAAAUUGUUAAUUGUAAGCAGGAAAGUUGGAAUUAGGAUGUGAUUCAAAUGUAAUCUUGGUUUUAGAAACCGAAUCCGAACCAGAUGUAUAUCUUCAGUUCGGCUCACGGUUUUGAUGGUGAGUUGGGCCAAACCGAACCAUGCCUGCCCCUACUGAUUUCUGUGACUUUUGUCGAAAAUGUAGUCUGAGGAUGUACAAUUCAUUGGUGGAGAGAUGCUUUACCGACUGCGUGGACACCUUUCAGCGCAAAUCGUUGACGAAGCAAGAGGAUACGUGUGUUCGUAGGUGUGCUGAGAAGUUCCUAAAGCACUCGAUGCGCGUUGGCAUGAGGUUUGCAGAGCUUAAUCAAGGAGCAGCUACUCAAGAGUAAGCUAAGCUCUAUGUAUGAAUCAUUUUGGUAUGGAAGUCUUGAAAACCGUUCGAAUUGGUUUAUGGAAGUUGCAACUUGUUUAGCAUUGGCUCCUGAAUUAUGUUUCUUACACUGCAUAUAUUUGUACCUUUUCAAAGACGAAAGAUUAUUUUGAGGUUUUACAGUUAAGCUGGAAUUGGACAUGAAUUAGUAUGAUUUACGGUUUUUCCUUUUUUACUGCGUGUCAUAUCGGAUUAUCUCGUGUGGUAAAAUGUGUUAGGAAUGUCGGUACUACAAGAUAGAGAAUGCACAAGGUAAAGUAAAAAAUGGACGCCAAGAAUUUAUGUGGUUCGGCAAUUU